GUGGGGAAUUUUGGACAAUGGGCGCAAGCCUGAUCCAGCAAUGCCGCGUGCAGGAAGAAGGCCUUCGGGUUGUAAACUGCUUUUGUACGGAACGAAACGGUCAUGGCUAAUAUCCGGGGCUAAUGACGGUACCGUAAGAAUAAGCACCGGCUAACUACGUGCCAGCAGCCGCGGUAAUACGUAGGGUGCGAGCGUUAAUCGGAAUUACUGGGCGUAAAGCGUGCGCAGGCGGUGCUGUAAGACAGGCGUGAAAUCCCCGGGCUCAACCUGGGAAUUGCGCUUGUGACUGCAGUGCUGGAGUGCGGCAGAGGGGGAUGGAAUUCCGCGUGUAGCAGUGAAAUGCGUAGAUAUGCGGAGGAACACCGAUGGCGAAGGCAAUCCCCUGGGCCUGCACUGACGCUCAUGCACGAAAGCGUGGGGAGCAAACAGGAUUAGAUACCCUAGUAGUCC
rnacentral:rRNA from 1 species